GCACGUGCCGUGAUGUCGGUCAUGAAGGGAAAAAGGACAGUGUUACCAAUGCAAGCGACCCUUUAUCAGAUCUUUCCCAACUUGAGAGAAAUCUUCCUUCGGCUCCAGGAUCGACGAAGGCAGCAGCGUCAGGAUGGGCAGCAUUCUGAUCAAUGUAAGCUGGUGUUUGUUAAAACAAAAAGUCUUAGUUUGAUGUAAUCUUCAUUUUUUUGUUCAUCUUGAGGGUGAAAUGAGAGGGAGGAAAAAAGGUGAAAGGGAAGUUAUAAGUGAUAUACCAUAUUGGAAAAUAAUAUUUGGAAUACAUAUGUAUA
rnacentral:misc_RNA from 1 species